CUAUUUAAUUUUCAUGUGUUUAUAUUUAUACAGUGGCUGAUGCUUGUUGGUUACCUGCUCAUCGACUACCUUCACUAGAUUUUUGAUUGCGAUUUCUACUCUCAUAUCUGGACUACUAUCAGGGGUAUGAUAACUUAUAUGAACAGCUGCUAAGUUUCAAGGAAAAGAUCUUUUUUGAAUUUAUACACCAGCUCGAUUGCUUACCAAAUACUUGUAGGCACCUCAUCAACAUAUACCUACAAUGUAUUGCAAAUAAUUUUAGUAGAUUCGAAGAUAACCUAUGAUGUAACCAAUUUCUUUAUAAACACAUUUUUUCUAGCAUUUUUUAAAUCAAAUUACAAAUUUUAUGUACGUAUGCUACUAAUCUGUGCAGACUGUACAAAGCUAUAAUGCUUUCUCGUUUAAACUCAUUCAUUAAUAAUCGAUAUGAAUAAUGAUUAAUCUUCAGUCACUGAUACUACUACUAUUUCAUCAAUAUUUGUUCAUGACCUUUCAUGUUCUACAAUCCAUACAUUUUCAAAAACUUAGCUGAUUGUGAGAAUGGUACCUAUUAAAAUAUUCGCAUACGUAACGAAAACUUCAGGUCAUUUUCAUGCCCAACCUUGACCAUUUUGUUUGAGGUCACCAGUGUAUAGUCUCGUAAAGUUUGAAAAGUAAGUUGCCAUGCCUUUUUGUGCUGUCGAUUCCACACCGUCUACUGAUCUGGGUAAGGAGGUUUGAAGAAACCGACGAAGAAGCUAAAGGUUUGAAAAAUUAUGAAGAUUGGUAAGACCUUGAUCUUGUUGACAUUGAUGUAAAGUACAGAGCACUGGUCGGCAACCACAAUGAAGGUAUUUCGGCGUGUUUUGUAGACCAGGCAACAAUUGCUCAAAAAAAGGUAUAGAGCUUGGAACACAAUGUUUGACUUUGUACCUAACUUUGUUUGGAGUUUUGGACUAGUUAAGAGGUGAACAAUUGAACAUAUCAAAAGUCCCCGCCCGUAGCCCUUAUUCAGGGGGUGGAGUGGGGGGUGCAUUUAUCGAUUUUUCGCUUAUAUCUCGGAAACUAUGCGCCCUAGCGACGUCACCACUCUAUACAAAAUGAAUGCUGAUGAAAUUUGCUACAAGUUUUAUCUCGAGUUUUACUUAGUCAAGUUUUCCAUAUCUUCUAUAGUUUUUGUGUGUAAUUUGGAAGAAAAACAUUUUGGCCUUACAUUUUUUGUUCUGUUUGACCGGAAACUCUUCAACGAUGCACCCAAAAAUGUCUCAAAUAUCAUUCCUUAUGAUAGUCUGGACUGGAUCUACCUUUCUUCCUCGCUUUCUUCUUUUGUCUUGAUUCUUCAUAGUUUCAUGUUGAAUGCGCUCUCUAUAAAUGAACAAUUCUUCUUGAAAUCAAACUUGGGUAAUGCAGAUUGCAGCACUGAUGUUUUAGGCUGAGCAGAUGUUGAUACCUCUUAUUUCUUGAAAGCUGCGAUCAACCGGGUCCUCGUUUCAUCUUUUUUUUUUACACCAGUUUUGUGUUUCUAUAUAACCAAUCCAUUUCUCCCCCCCCCCUUCCCCCACAACCAAAAUGAUUUAGUAAAUUAUUGAGCACCGCUAGAGGUGAACAUAGACAUGGUUAUUGACACAAAUUGGUAGUAGCAGUAGUUAUUUAUGUUUAGCUUCUUAGUAAAUAUACGCUAUAUAAUGCAAGAAGAGUCAAGUCCUCAGGAUAUUUCGUCGCAAUAUUGCAUUUUCCCUUUGUAAGUGCCCUCCUUUGACACUCUGUUUUCCAGUAUUCGCACUUUGGCUUCCACAUCACUAGUCCAGAUGUUGCAAUCGUUCUUUGUAAGUACAUCCUCCGUCGGGAACACCUUUAAGGUAUAGGUAUAGCACAUUUUUUUUAAUGUUAAGAAAAUGCGCUAAAAAUUAAGAAUCUAAAACCGAAGAAUAGGAAGUCGCACAAGAAAUUAAAAACUAUUAUUUUACUCGACUGGAGGGGAUAUCUGUUGUUAUCUUCUGUAUCUUUUGUUUUUUUUUGGACAAAACAGCAAUAAAUUAUUGUUAUCAUCAUGUAGGAAAACCCAGGGUCGACGGGUCAUCAAGAAACAAAUUUUUAUCGUAUUGUAUACAUAAGUGCUUUCUGCUUUAAUGGGAUGCGCUAAUAAGAGAUAUUAAUAACAGAGUGGGUUGUUAAAAAUUAUGCCAUUUGCCAAGGGUAGACAAGCAUCUAAUUGCCUAAAGUUGCAAUUGGAACUGCGCAUGUCUUUGAUUAAAAGUUCAAUGUUCGCAUUGCGAAAACAUGGUUACUUGAAUUUUACAAAGUAGAAUGAGAUUUAAAAUGUGGCUGAAGGGAUUAUGAAUCGGCUUAGAAAUGUGGAAUUCUGGCCUUGUCCCCGAAAAAUUGAAGGACUUCAAAUAAUCCGAGGAAAUCAGAAUUUUAGAAAGUAGCAUUUGAAAAAUUUUAGAAACACGUGACGAACACAAAGGAUCAUAAGAAUUUGAUUUCCAAGAGUCAAAAAUAUUCAAAGGAAGAAAGUGAAGAAUCUUAAAAUUUUGAAGAAUUGAAUGAAGAGUAUAAAUUGAUUCUGUUUAUGGUAUUAAUAGUUUCACAAAGAAAGUGAUACAGGAUUACGAAAACCGCUUUAAAAACAGCUGAGAUACACUGCAGUCUCAACCUAAAUAGGACAUACGGUACAGGGUGUCAUAUUAAUAAUAUGGGCCAUAUCUAUGGAACCGUUAAUUGCACAGAUUAGGGAAGAAGGCUAAGAGAAAUAGCCGGAAAUUGUUUUCAAGUUUCUAGGUUUGCCCCUAGAGGGGGUACGAUUAAUGGUUAAGUAGAAAAAUAGUUUUUUUCUAAGAUAUAUUUCAACAAACGUGCAUAAAAAAUAUAUCUUGUAUGAAUUUUACCAUUUUAAUGCAGCACAUAUUGCUCUAGUUCAUCAAAUAUGAGGGUGGGGGAAGGAGAAUAUCUCUUUAAGGAAUUGAAUGUAACUUCGGUUUAGUUUAACCAAUUUUUGAUAUAAUUAAUCUUAUUGGAAGGAGCGCUCUUCAUGUAAUCAUAUUUUAAUAAAUAGUCUUUUUAGUAAACGUAAUGAGUGGUUGAUAUUAACAUAAACUUUGCAGGUUUUCUUGAAAAUUUCAAAUCAUGAUUAUAUGAUAUUAUCAAAUAAGAUGAAAAAGUGGACUUAUUGGUGAAAACCGAAUUUCUAAGUAGAGAUAUGGGAAAAUCGAGGGGAAAAUACACACAUUCACACAUUAAAAUGGCAAUAUUCAUCCAAGUUGGUUUAGAAACAAAAGAAGCACAAUACCAUACAAAAUUAGUUAUUAUUAUUAUUACCUAUUAUUAUAAUAAAAAAACUACUCGAGAGACUUCGUCUUUUUAUCGAAGAUAAUGGCAGACAUGAGACAUUUUUGAGCAUUUACGUUUAUCAUAAGUAUUGUUUCUUUUAAAUUUGUGAAUGUGAAUAUUUUCGCCUUAUCUCUGCUUAGGAAACAGAUAUCAAAAUGCGGUUUUUACUGAUAUUUUGCUUUUUCAUCUUAUUAGAUACUAUCAUAUAAUUAUGUUGUUCCAUUUGAAAUUUUCAAAAAAUCUGCAAAGUUUAUGUGGGUGUCAAACCGCGCCCUCUACCACUCAUCACAUUUACUAAAACGGAAGACUGUAUUCAUAUAAAAUCUGAUUACACAAAGAAAGCUUUUUGCAAUAAGACUAAUUAUGUGAAAAUCUGUUAACCUAAACUGAAGUUACAUUCAACCGCUUAAAAAAAUGUUUCCCUUCCCCCACCCUUCAUAUUUUAUGAACUAGAGCAAUAAAGAUUGUGAUGCAUGUAUUUUUUAUGGAUGUUUGUUGGGUAUGUUUUAGGAAAUAAAUCAUUUUUCUUGUUAACCAUAAAUAUUACGCCCUCUAGCAGCAAACUUAGAAACUUGAAAAUAAGGUCCAGGGAUUUCUCUUUUCCCCGAGAGCUAGAAUGUUUCGUGAUCACCAUUCACCAUACCAAUUACACCAAAGUCUAUGGAAAAUCAUUGAAUAAUUAAUUAUAGGUACUUAUUCAAUGGUAAAAUGAAACAUUGCACUUGCUUUACAUUAUGUAAUCAAUUUUACUUCCAGAUUGAAUUCGUGGUAAUUGUCAACUACAACUUCCUGUUUUACUAAACAUGAACAGGUGAACACUUCAAAACUGAAAUCUUUCUCUUCAAAGUCUUACUCAGCCACGAUGACUCAUCUGGUUUCAAAUUGAGGGGGGGCUAUGUACAAUACAAUUUUUGCAACACAGAUAAAUUCCCAUGAAAUCAAAUGGAACCAAGUUCCAACAUACUCAAGUAAUACGAGCUGGUGUAUGAUUCAAUUGUAGGUAUGAACCUUAUUAUCCAAUAGUCAUUGGCAUCUGAAGUUUUUGAGAUUAGAUACGGGAUUAAUUAAAUUAAUGAAAAUGCAGUGUUGUAGUAUAAGAUGUUUGAGAUCUAAAUGAAAUACGGUUGAAUAGACACUUUCCUGAAAAGUGAGCAACCCCGCAUAGAUCUCAAAUAUAUUUUUGUAGCUGAAGAUGUACAAAUCUCAGUGGUUCAACAUUAGAAAUUUGAUGGUCAAUUUCACUGCAUGAUAACGUUGAAGUAACAUGUAACAACGCAUACUGUUUCUGCUUUGUCGCAGAGGUUCCUUAACAAGUAUUUUAAAAAGAAAACUCGGUUGUUACAUGGUAUUGGUUGUGUUUGGGUGUAGGGUGCUAUCAAGUGGAUUCACCCAGUGUUUUGCUACAAAUGUUGGCUAUAUUGCUACAGCACAACUUCAACACUAAUUAGCCAUUCUCAAUCUAUCGAAUGAUGCCGAUUUUACUUAUGCGUAAAAUUGUGUAGUUCGAUAGGUUCGGAAUUCAAUUGAGAAAGGUUUUCGGGGUUUUUCUAUUUACAGUCGUUGAUUUAAUAUUUGAAUAAAUGUGAUUAACAAUAGACUAUUACUAUUAACAAAGAAAGACGUACUAGUAUGUUCAUAGUUCCUUAUAGUUUUAGGCAAAACUAUGAAGAUACAUCACGAUAGAAAUGCAUGAGUAGUUUAGUUUGGCAAUAAAAGCAUGUAGAUUACUUAAUUUCGUACAAAUUUAACACAUUUUCUUUUCGAACUGAAAUUUGUUGUUAGGUUUCUUUUUUUUAUAAUGUGAAACAUCACAUUUCAGUUCAUUUAAGGCUUGUGGAAAUUUUUACGUUUUUAUAUUCUACGAAAACUCAAAACUGGACUCCAUAUAAAGCCAGUUAGUACUACUGUUGCAAGUGAUUCGAAGUUAACAGACAUCUAGAAGCUAUUUGGCCCCAUCUAUGCAAUUUGUUUGGAAAUUAACUAUAGCGAUAAGAUGAGACUCAUUCUCAUACGAUUAGGGUAGUUUCAAUUCUUAUUGGUGCCUUUCAAUUUUUCCACAAGUUUUAACAAGGGCACCAGAUUUAAUAAUUUACUCUGCUUGAAAUUAUUUCGUAACAACAUAACUGUUUCGGCAGAAAUAUCUAUUUGUCGAAAUAAUACCCGGAUGUUUUUAUUUGGUUGUAGAUAGAGCUUUAUAUAUUAUUUACAAUAUUUGCAAGUACAUGCGUAUGCUAAAGAUUCAGCGAUAAUAUGUACGCAGGUGAACAAAGAACUUCCAUUAAUAUGUAUUUGCAAAUAUACGCUGUUAGAAUUUUUUUUGCACUGAACAAUUUCGUGCAGGCUUUCCCCAUAUUGCUUGAGAUAAUCAAAAGUUAAAUUGAAGUGAUCGAGAAAGUCUGUAUUUGCAUGUAACUUUAGUAUUUAUCAGAGAAUCUCAAUUUAUGUAAUAAUAAGUCUCGAGAUACACAUUAUUUGCUUUCAAUUUCAUAUGUAUAGAUGUACGAAGUAAUGGAAAAGUAAACGUUCUUUCAUGUUUUUCAUCGAGACCUAGUUAGAACAGAAUGUACUGUUUUAGACGGAAAUUAAUAAUUAAUUAAUUAAACUUUUUCGUAUUUUUUGUUUUUAGAAUAAUAAACGUCAUCGUUCAUUCAUGCACUGUGGGUUUCAUUAUUAUAUUGUAACAGAAUUCUUUAAGUAAUUGGUGUACUACUCAAAACAAGAGAUUGUAGCGAAUUUUCUAGAGCGAUAUCAAGGCGCCAUCAAGUCGAUCGGCGAUAGAGAAUAAAAAAACGGGCGUUACUCAUGUGAAAUAUGAUAUGCUGAGUUGAAUUGCAACGGACUGUGUUUAAUUUUAGCUCCAAAUGAUAAAUAGUGAAAUUUGCGCUCGUAUCAUAAAUUUGAGUACAAAUAAGUGAUAAAUAAUAAUUGUAAUAAGUCAUUUAAAGACCGCUAACAAAUUCAUUAAUAAUUAUUACGGGGUGUUUUCUUUGUCGGUCUAAAGUUACAAAACUUCCGCGAAAACUUCAUAUCAAAAAAUCCUCGAAAAAAUCUCGCUUUUUUUUAAAUUGUGGUGAAAUAAAUAAACAAAUCUUUCACGAAUUGAAUGGUAAACAGUUGUAAUUAAUCAUAAUAAGGAAUUUAAUUUAACGUGACAAUAUGCACGCUCCGUCCGCGUUGGGACCCCCGGCAGACAUUCCCCUCUCGCCCGUUUUUAGUAGAAACAAAUAAUAAUAAUAAACUUUAUUUCCUCGUUUUCUUAUAACAAUCCAAAUGAGGCUAAUUGGCCUAUAAUCCUUCGCCAUGUCAUAUUUUGCACGACCCGACUUAGGUAGGUACUUCCCUUUCUUCAGCUUUCGGGGAUAUACCCUUAAACCAGAGAGGCCCUAAAUCGGUGCAACAAAUGUAACAAUGGUUCCAGGCCCUUCUGUAGAAGAGCC